rnacentral:lncRNA from 1 species
CCCUUGUACAUACUCUCAUCUGCUAUUUAUUUGAUACGAGCCACAACGGCCUGCUCUGCAACAUGCAGGACUCCUAACAAACUAAGAUAUCCUAACAGCAGGUGGGGACCUUCAUCAAGGACUAUCAGGUGCUCCGCCCCAUGGCAAAGUCACGGAAACGGGCCGGCAUCUUUCGAUUGCGCGUGGGCCUACCCUCAGUGCGGAGGUCUUCCUCAUUCUGGACUUCUUCUUCAAGUUGGGCUACCACUUCAUUGGGCUUAGUCUGCCCCAAUCCAGUAGUUGUAUCAUCUCUCCCGCCAUCGAAAAUAACCUUGUCCUCAAGGUUAAAGGUUGGGAAAGAGCGUUGCAUCAUCGCCUUAGCUUCCCAGGUCGAGCACUCAGGGGGUUCUCCGUUCCAUUGAAUCAAGACCUGCUGUUGGACCCCGGCUGGAGUCAGUAUCUCCCUUUCCCCACAAACGGCGAGUGGCGCCGGCAUAGGCGCCGAGUCUUGAGCUUCUUCCGGCAGUGAACAAAUAGGCGUAGGACUGCUUCCUUGGAAUGCCUUGAGUUUAGAAACAUGGAAGACCGGAUGGAUACGACUCCCCGGUGGCAAAGCGAGGCGAUAAGCCACACGACCAAUGCGCUCCGUGAUACGGAAUGGUCCAUAGUACCGUUGCGCAAUCUUGGGAGAACGUCGUCCCCGAACUGAAGUUUGGCGAUAAGGCUGUAAUUUAACCAAUACCAUGUCAUUCACCUGAAAUUCCAAGUCACGACGGUGGCGAUUGGCUUGUUGCUCCAUUCGGAACUGAGAUUGUUGUAGAAUCUUCUUCAAUUGUUGGAGCAAGAUAUCACGUUCCUGCAGUAGUUCAUCCAGAGCUUGCACAGUCGUGGUGCCGGCGGAGUACCGAGAAAUUAGUUGAGGGCGACGACCAAAGAGUGCUUCAAAAGGGGUCAUGCGGAUACUAGUGCAGUAAGAUGUAUUAUGUGAGAACUCAGCCCACCCCAAGCAUAAGGCCCAGGUCGUCGGCUUUUCGAGCGUGAAUGCUCGUAAGUACUGCUCAAGGGUGCGAUUGACCACUUCAGUUUGACUGUCGGUUUGAGGAUGGUAGGCGGUGCUGUGACGAAAUGCUGCCAGAAAUUACUGAUGAAGAUGUGAUCUCUAUCUGAAAUAAUAGAGCUAGGAAACCCAUGUAAACGAACGACAAUGUUCGAGAACAGAGCAACAGUUGAAGCAACGGUGAACGAAGUUGGUAAUCCCCCAAAGUGAGCAAAUUUCAUCAGACGAUCCACAACUACAAGGAUGACCGUGAAUCCUCGGCUUGGUGGCAGCCCGGUGAUGAAGUCCAUCGUAAUUUCCUCAUAGACACGUGCCGGUAUGGGCAGUGGCUGUAGAAGUCCUGCUGGUGGCUGCGUGGAGUACUUGAUUUGUUGGCAUAUGAGGCAGGCGGUCACAUAUUCUUUGACGGCGUCUUACAUCUUCGGCCAGAAAAAAGAAGAGGCGAGACGGACCAGUGUUCUUUUGACUCCUCCAUGUCCUGCCAUCGGCGUGGCAUGGGCUUCGUGUAGUAACCGUGGGAUGAGGCUGGAGAACUUGCUGAUGUAGUAUCUCUGUCGGUAUGUGAGAAUGCCAUCGACCACGGCGUAGUCUGAGCUUAGUUGGUGGUUGAGUGCCCGUUGAUGGAGCUCCUUGAGGUCAGAGCACGUAGCGUUCUCCUGUCGCAAGAGGUCUAGCAUUUCUACCACCGGAACACUCACAGCAAAAUACACUUGGGCAGCUGUUGUCUCGGUUUCCACGUCUACAACCUGCUUUUCAUACCUCCGCGAGAGAGCAUCUGCAGCAAGGUUUGAGGAUCCGGAGCGGUACUCAAUGCGGAAAUGGAAUCCCAACAAUUUUCUUACGUAUUUCUGCUGUUCGGGGGCUUGAAUUGUUUGUUGAAGAAGUUCUCGAAUACUUUUCUGAUCGGUUCGUAUGAGGAAGGGGCGCCCCAACAAAUAUUGUCGCCACUUAUGCACGGCCUCCACAAUAGCUGCAAUUCCUUCGUUACGUAGAAGCUGCCUGCAACCUGGCACUAAUUUUUUUACUAAAAUAAGCUAUCGGCUGCUCUUGCUGCAUCAAGACAGCCCCGAGUCCCACAUCCGAGGCGUCCGUCUCAACCACAAACUCAAUGUUGAAAUCUGGCAGCCUCAGUACCGGGUUGGUGGUCAAUGCUGCUUUGAGCUUACAAAGGCAAGCUCUGCGUCUGGAUUCCAACAAAAUGCAUCAACCUUAAGUAAAUCAGUCAGGGGUGCCGCAAUACCUGCAUAGUGGCGGACGAAUCGACGAUAAUAGCCCGUGAGGCCGAGAAAUCCUCGGAGCUGUUUCACCGAUCGCGGAGUAGGCCAAGACUUCAUUGCUUCAAUCUUCUCCGGGUCAGCCUGGACACCACCAUCUGCCACGAUAUGCCCAAGGUAUGCCACCGAGAUCUGCCCAAAUACACACUUAGACGCUUUCAAAAAAAACUGGUGUUGGCUUAGGCAAGCAAACACCGAGCUAAGUGGUCGACAUGAUCCUCCAUAGAAGUGCUGUAGACAAGGAUGUCAUCAAAAAACACCACUACAAAUUUAUGUAAAAAUGGAGCGAACAAUUGGUUCAUGUUCCUGAAAAGUAGAGGGGGCGUUAGAGAGCCCGAAAGCAUCACCAAAAAUUCGAAAUGCCGUCGCGUUCGGAAUGCCGUCUUCGCGAUGUCGCGAUGAUGAACUCGGAUUUGAUGAUACCCAGCAUGUAGAUCAAGCUUAGUGAAAAACCUUGCGCUGCCCAAAUCAUCUAGAAGUUCGUCAAUGGUGGGGAUGGGAAAAUUAUCCCGCACCGUCACCGCAUUGAGCGCCCUAUAAUCGACACAAAAGCGGAACGAGCCGUCUUUCUUCCGAACAAGCAAGACCGGCGAUGAGAAAGGGGAUUGACUAGGGCGGAUAAUCCCCUGCUCCAACAUCUCGGCGACGAGUUUCUCCAUUUCCUGUUUUUGAAAUUGGGGAUAUCUGUAUGGGCGAACAUUUACAGGAUCUGAAUUCUGUUUGAGAUGAAUUCGAUGAUCGAUAUGCCGAUGAGGGGGAAGGCCAGACGGCGGAGCAAAAAGAUGCUGAAACUCUUGAAGAAGUCGGUGUAGGGCUUGAGGUGUAGAAUCAGGAAUAGUAAGUUGUUGAAGAUGGGCCGGCCCACUUGUUGAUAACUUGGGCUGGAUAGCAACGACCCACAUCAAGGUCACUUCUGUUUUUUGGACUGCAGCCUGUAGACUCGAAAACGUGAUGGGUUGAAGAUCCAGACCGACAUCUCCGACCAAUGUCGUGGUGGCACCAUCGACGGUAAACUCCAUCGUCUGUGCAUCGUAAUCAUGCGUGACCGGGCCCAGAGUUCGCAACCAAUGAAUGCCCAACACCACCGCUGGACCGGCAAUUUGGAGGAGAUGGAGGUCCACAGUUGCGACAUACCCAGGAAACGCGAUAGGAACUGCCUGACAGAUCCGGUCGCAGACGAGGUAAUCCCCAUUACCCACGUAUACACGAAAGGGAGGGAUCGAUUGAGAACCUAAUUUCAACGAUUGGGCUAUAGCUGGCUGCAAGAAAUUGUGGGUGCUGCCAUUAUCUACCAAAACGCGGAUGGCUCGCUGGUGAAUAGUGCCCAGCAAGUGUAGAGACCGCGGCCGCCCCAACCCGGAAAAGGUGUGGAGUGUGGAAAUAUCCCCACAGACAUCAAAAUCAGGGGCGGGCUCUGGAAGAGGUGACUCGGUUGUCAUAGUGCCGUCCACAUCGCCGUCGUCGUCGGUUCCGAACAACCCGAAGAAGCGGCUGCGGCAGCGAUGACUCGGGGACCAUUUCUGGUCACAAUUGUAGCAAAGCCCCUUUUCGCGUUUCUCACGCAGCUCCUGAGGUGAAAAUCGGCGAAUGGGAAGGUUUGGGCCGGUGAACCCCGCUGGAGAAACGGGUUUGGAGGCAGGGGGUGGCAAAGGCAACUGGGGCGUCGGCGAACUGGUAGUCAAUCUUGUCGGCGAAGGGGAUGGUGAUGGUGAUAACACCGAGACCGGUGUGGUUUCACUGGUGGCCGCGACGGCCAGCGAUGCUCCGCUCGCGAUUCUUCCAAACGUGCCUCGUAGGCUCGAGCUAAGGCGAACGCCUCCAUGAGGGUCGCCGGUUUGGAAAUGGACAGCUCGCGGCGGAUAUCAGACUUGAGACCGGUGACGAAGAAGCUGACUAGCAAGGCCUCCGAAAUCCCCUCGACCUUGUUCAUAAGAUCUUCAAACUCUGCCUGAAAUUCAGCCACGGUGGUUUUCUGCGUCAACUUGGAUAGACUGCCUUGAGGAUCAUCAUAAACGGAUCCGCCAAAACGAUGACGCACACUGUGGAGGAAGACCGGCCAUGUGGAGAGCAAACGGUUGUUCUUCAUCCAUUGAAACCAAGCGGCAGCCCGGCCCUCCAUGUGAAAGGAAACGAUGCGAAGGCGCUGUAGUUCCGGCGUGUUGUGGAAAUCGAAGAACUCUUCCACCCGGAAGAUCCAGCCCGACGGAUCGGAGCCGUCAAAGCUUGGGACUUCCAUUUUCAUCGGACGAAAGGGUGGUGGAUCUGGUGGCGUGGGAGGAGGGAGGUGGUGAGGCGGAACCUGGUGAAGAGCGGCAAAGCGUGCAUCGACGGUGGACAUAAGUUGGGUGAGGGUGGUGUUUGUUGCUGCCAACUGGCUUUCAAAGUGGGAUUUGAUGUCGCGAAGAGCAGAUAAAAUUUCCGAAUCGGCCAUGGUUGAGAACAAGAAUGAAAGCACCAAUGAUAGGAUAUUGCUCGGCUAUGACUACUUCGAGUGAGUCUAACUCCAAUUCAAAAGGAAUAAUAGAGAAAGCAGAUAAUUUCAUUCAUUCCAAAGUGCCCUUGUACAUACUCUCAUCUGCUAUUUAUUUGAUACGAGCCACAACGGCCUGCUCUGCAACAUGCAGGACUCCUAACAAACUAAGAUAUCCUAACAGCAGGUGGGGACCUUCAUCAAGGACUAUCAGGUGCUCCGCCCCAUGGCAAAGUCACGGAAACGGGCCGGCAUCUUUCGAUUGCGCGUGGGCCUACCCUCAGUGCGGAGGUCUUCCUCAUUCUGGACUUCUUCUUCAAGUUGGGCUACCACUUCAUUGGGCUUAGUCUGCCCC